rnacentral:lncRNA from 1 species
UAUAUAUAUAUAUAUAUAGAGCAGGGCUGCUGUGCUCUUAGGAGCAUAGAGGCCUCCGUGCUCCUGAGCCGUUUUCGAUGAUGGAAUUUUCGAAUCGACGAUCGGCUCCGUUAGACUUGAUCUAGCGCAUUUGAAGUUUCUAGAAAAUAAUUUUUGCGAUUUUUCGAUAUCAUUUACCUAGCAAUCGAAAGGAUUCAAAAUCAAUAANNNNNNNNNNNNNNNNNNNNNNNNNNNNNNNNNNNNNNNNNNNNNNNNNNNNNNNNNNNNNNNNNNNNNNNNNNNNNNNNNNNNAUGCAUUCAUUUUGUAUGUUAAACUAGAUAUUUUUUAUAUCAAAUUUUAGAUAAUGUUUUAUAAAAAUUAAACUAUAGAUUGCACGAUGUUAAGAAUUUCAAGCAGCUCGUUUAGGGCUCGAGUUCGCUCGACUCGAAGUUAGGCUCGCUCGAGCUCGGCUCGAAUUAAUUUCAAACCAAGCUUGAGCCUAAAUUUAGGCUCGAAAUUAAUUUCAAGCCAAGCUUGAGCUAAGGUAAGCUCGCUCGAGCUCGGCUCGUUUCCAACCCUAUUUGUACAUCCCGUCUGGAGUGCGUAUCUUACAUCCACCUGAUCAAACGGAUGAGGAUAUUUUACUUAUCAUAUCUAUUAGAUAAGAGGGGUGUAUAUAUGGAUAGUAUCGUACUAUCAAAUAUAUAUAUAUAUAUAUAUAUAUAUAUAGAGAGAGAGAGAGAGAGAGAGAGAGAGAGAGAGAGUAGGUCUUGUAUGCUAUUAGGAGCAUAGAGGCCUCCGUGCUCCUAAGCCGUUUUCAAUGAUAGAGCUUCCGAAUCGACGAUCGGCUCUGUUAAACUUGAUCUAGCGUAUUUGAACUAUCUAGAAAAUAAUUUUUGUGAUUUUUCGGUAGCAUUUUCCUAGCGAUCGAAAGGGUUCAAAAUCAACAAUUUUUAAUAGUUGAUGCAUACCGUUUGCAAGUAUAACGAUGUAGAAGUAUUCAAAUCAAAUGAAAUUUUGAUAGAAAAUUCUUUAUACUAUUUACAGUAAGAUCAAUAUGUUUGAUCGAAAAUUUUAAUGCUGUACCACCACUUUUUGUGAGAUUUUUAUUUUCAUUCGUUGAUUUUGAACCCUUUCGAUCGUUAGGUAAAUGAUAUCGAAAAGUCACAAAAUUUAUUUUCUAGAUACUUCAAAUACGCUUGAUCAAGUUUAACGGAGUCGAUCGUCGAUUCGGAAGCUCCAUCAUCGAAAACGGCUUAGGAGCACGAAGGACUCCGUGCUCCUAACAGCACACAAGACCUACUAUAUAUAUAUAUAUAUAUAUAUAUAUAUAUAUAUAUAUAUAUAUAUAGAUGUAGCUUCUUCAGCUUCAGUAGAGAGAGAGAGAGAGAGAGAGAGAGAGGAUGUUGGAAGGGAAAGCAAUGGUGGAAGACACAGAUAUGCCCCUGAAGAUGCAGCNGAGAGAGAGAGAGAGAGAGAGAGAGAGAGAGAGAGAGAGCUAGGCUAGAAUGCUAUCAAUAGCACCAAACACUUGGUGCUACCAAGUUUUCUGCCCUUAGAUGAAGAAAUGUACGGUUAGGACGAUGUGGUCCCCCUAGGGUUGAGUGAAUUGUUGGUUGAAUAGUAUAAUCUAACAGAUGAAAAUAGUCAAAAGGUUAAAUCUAACGGCGGAAAACUUGGUAGCACCAAGUGCUUGGUGCUAUCGAUAGUAUCCCAGCCGGACUCUUCAACCAAUCACCCACUCAACCCUAUAGGAUCAUUAUUAACCUAACCGGAGACCACUAUCAUCCUAACCGCACAUCUAUUCAUCCAAUGGUUAGAAACUUAUGAGUGCAAAGAGGGCUAUACUCAUAAGGGCCCGUUUGGUUCGAGUUAUGUAAUAUUACAAAGUAUCUUGACAUAUCCAGGUAUUUUGGAUUUCGGCGUGAGAUUACUACUGAUGCUGCAUUAGCGCAUUUGGUUUAAUACAGUAAUGUAAUACUAGAUUACGGUGUUUAUAGUAUUAAUAUGUUUGGUUCAGUUUAUAAAAUUUAGUAAUCUUGACAUAAAAGUAUAGUUUUUUCAAAAUUGCCCUUGUUGUGGUCAUUUGAAUAUUAUUUUUUACGGAAAUAACAAAUGGAGAGAAGGAGAUCGUGAUGAUUAUUUGGGAGGAUGACGCAAUAGAAGAUGAUAGGUGUUCGUGCGAGAGAGAGAGAGAGAGAGAGAGAGAGAGAGAGAGAGAGAGAGAGAGAGCGAGAGAAAGCGGCGUGCGAGAGAGAGGGGGGAAGGCGAGAGAGAGAUGAAAAUAAUGCUGCUAAUUAGAUUUGGGGUUGUUGGAGGGUAAAAUUGUCAUUUUAUAUAAUAUGUAGUAUUAACGGGUUUCAGUAAUGCAAGAUACACGACCCCCCUCCCGUUAAUAUUUUCGAUGUAAUCCUGCUCGAUUUGUAAUGCUACAUUAACGACUAGAUUACAUAGCGGAUUAACCAAACACAGUUAUCCUGUCAGGAUUGUCUGUAAUCCUGUCAGAAUAACUCGAACCAAACGCACCCUAAGAGUAUAGUAGCCCUAGCAUAUAUAUAUAUAUAUAUAUAUAUAUAAAAUACAAAAUAAAUUCGGGUUUGGGUUGGAUUCGGGUACGGGUCGGGUACAGUCAAAAUCUAUAUCCGAAUCCAUGUCUAUCGGGUUUCUAUUUUUGAUAUUCAUAUCCGAAUCUACAUCCAUUUAACAUCAGAUAUAUCCAUUUCAUUCGGGUUCGAAUUCAUAUAAAAUUUCGGGUAUCCAUACCCAUUGACAUCCCUAACAAUGAGUCGAUGCAUCUUCUUGUUUUACAGGUAAUUACUCUAGCAGAAAAAUUUACAAUGUACCCGUUUUGCCACUUAAACUUAAAAAAAUUAUAUAACAAAUUAUGACUUCUUCAAAAAUCUUUAUGCAUAUUUCAACCAACCUUCUAGCUUUUAUUGUGUCAAUUUAAUUAUAAAAUGACUACUAGUUCUCCUGAUCCGAAAAGUUUAGGUCUCAUCGUUCGUCUUUCAAUUAAAGCCUAAAUAAGUUUAGAAAACUGUUAGAAAAAACAAACAAAUUGAAAUCGGUAAUCCGUGAUUCCUUCAAAGUGAGCGUACAUAUUUUAUGCAGUUUUUGUAAGUUUUGAAAUUUCAGCGGCCAUCCCCGUAGGGCUGAGGAAAAGUUCAUGAGCUUUUUGGUGCAAGUUUUCACAUUUUAUUUUUUUUUGAGAGAUAGAUAGUACGCUACCUGUUUCGUUUAUUUUAUUUAGAAAUAAACUUAGUUAGAAAUGUGAAUCAACUCGGAUUCGAACUUGGGUCUCGGGUAUCAACCACCAAACCUUUUGCCACUUGCUCUAGGGACGGUCGGUAUUUUCACAUUUUAUUGAUUGAGCCUUAGGGAGGUGUUUGACGUACCUAGUUUCUAAAAAAUGAUUUUUGGGGAUGUUUGGCAAUUUUUUCACAUGAAAAAUUGUUUUACCUCGGGAGAGCUUCUACACAAGCAUAUAUAGUGUGAAUAAUUUAUUUAAAGAACUAAUAGCAACUUAAUUUUUCAACUAAAUUUUUUCAUUGAUCUUCCGUUGCAAGAAAACCAAAUGCUUAAGUAAAGAAUUGAAUCGAAUUUAGUUGCAACCUUGAAGCUCACUAAUCUCAGCAUUUUUAUAUACAAAUAAAAGCUACACGCAUAUAUUUGCCAAUGCCUGAUUAAUGCUUGAGUUGACAAAUUGCUCUAGAACGUGUUUUUCUUUUUUGCUCUUUUAAUUUGGAGAGAAAGAUAACAUAUUAUUAGUUUCAUUUUUUUUUCUUUUUUUUUUUUUUCAAAAGAAAGUUGGCCCAGUAGUUAGCAGCGCUUAAUGGCAGUUUACUCUUAUUUUUGCAUUAUUUUUGUUACAGAAUACUGCACCAAAAAUUCGAUUAUGAUUAAUUAUCUAACUAAUUUUGUAAUGAAAAUAAAUUAUACUUACAGAUAGAUGCUGAAAUUCAACAUAAAUUAAAGAAGAAGAAAGUCAAACGAUUUGAUCAGAAAGCAUGCGAGGGACUGCCCUAAGACGUAUUCCCGCCCUCCAUGUGGAAUUAACCAGAAACACUGCCCAAGAUAUAACCGAAAUUUCUCCUUUUAUGAGCACGAAUGCGAAAGAGGGUAGACGGAAAAACUUUCAACACCCGACAAUAAAAAAAGAUCAAAUGAAGUAGAUAAAAAAAAAAAGAGAGUUAAAAUCAACUCUUGAAAUUAUUCAUUUAAUAAUCAGCUCUCAAUCAUGUAUGUAUUCACAUGAACCGAUGAACCCAUUAUCGAGUUCCACCCGUACGUCAAUAUAAAUAUCCAUGUAAUUAGAACGCUGCUAUCAACGUUCUACACGGAACUGGUUGUCACGGACUUAACGGUUUGGUUCGCAAAAUUCGUGUGGCGCUCGCCUUCCUCCGCGAAGUGAGCAAGCCUGCCUCUCUUCUUACUAAGUUAGGACCUCGCUCGCCCUAGACUAAGUACAAGAGAGAGAUAUGAAGAAAACUCUUCUAUUACUUUAAACUUGAGAAUACAAUAUGAGAUUCUGAAAUGAGAGGGGGUGGAGGCCACACUAUUUAUAGGCCACUCGCUGCCCAUAAUGCCAAUGAAAAGGUGCCAAGUGGCACAAUACUACUAGCCAAAAGGGGAGGCCACAUGGUCUCCCAAGGAUCCUAAUAAUAAGUAUAGAACUCUAAGAGUCUUACAUUUAUUACCCACCUAGAAACUCUAAGGGACUCUUGACUCUCUGGUAUCCGCACCAUCAGUCUCGAGAUUCGCGUAGAAGCUUCUAGAAGAUUCCAAGCCAAAACUUCCAUCAGAUAUCCGCUUUCGAGUUUGGGUGAUUGCAAAGGAAAAUCGCGGAGAAAAUCUUUAUGUCGUGACAACCUUCCCCACCUAUUGCGCAGACGCCCUCAUCGCGCGCUGGUGUUGGAAGUCAUCGAUUAGCUUCUGAUACUUCCAGAGAGUGUCAGCCUUCUCCCAGCUUGCCUCGCCAUGCGGGAGAUUCUUCCACUUGACAACGUACUCGACGCUCCUCGGGACUCCGCGACGCUGAAUGGUGCGAGUGUCCAGCAAGGCUUCGACCUCCUUGUCGAUUGCAGUGUCAUAGUGGCGGGAGCGCGUUGCGACACGCCCUGGCUCGGGUCCUCAGCGUCUUCAUGGUAGGGCCGCAAGCAGCUAGCAUGAAAGACAGGAUGAAUCUUCAGGUUGGCGGGGAGUUGCAGUUUGUAGGCUGCCUUGCCCGCCCUCUUCACGAUAGUGAAAGGCCCCUCGUACUUUCGCAAAAGCCCACGGUGCACCUUGCGAAAAGCCUUGAAUUGUUGCGGUUGCAGCUUGAUCAACACUCGAUCUCCUUCAGCAAACUCCAAGGGUCGCCGCUUUGCAUCGCCCACUUUUUUAUUCGGCGGGCCGCCUUCUCGAGAUAGGCUCUCGCAAUGUCUCCCUUCUCCUGCAAAUAAGAAGUAAAUUGGAGAGCCAUUGGGCUGCGGCCCUGCUCGCCCGCAGCAGCAGAAUGCGAAGUGAGUGGUUGUCUCCCCGUUGCAAGCUCGAACGGGCUAAGGUUUGUUGACUCGCUCCGCCGCAAAUCGUAGGAGAACUGGGCCACGUCCAGAUGAUGCACCCAAUCCUUCUGGUUGGCACUGACAUAGUGCCGCAGGUACUCCUCCAGUAAGGCAUUCACCCGCUCCGUCUGGCCGUCCGUCUGCGGGUGGAAACUGGUGGAAAAGAGCAACUCCGACCCUAAGAUCUGGAAGACCUCUGUCCAGAACUUGCCCGUGAACUUAGGGUCUCGGUCACUCACGAUGCUUUCGGGGACGCCCCAAAGCUUUACCACAUUGCUGACGAAGAGCCACGCUGCUUCUUCCACCGUGCAAUCCACUGGUGUCGCGAUGAAAGUCCCGUACUUGGAGAAUCGGUCCACCACCACGAGGAUGGACCCCAACGUCCCCACCUUGGGCAAGGCGGAGAUGAAGUCCAUGGAAAUGCUCUCCCACGGACGCGUCGGUGUAGGCAGGGGCUCGAGGAGGCCCCCAGGCUUCUGGCGCUCCACCUUAUCUUGCUGGCACACAAGGCAAGUCCGCACGUACGCCUCCACAUCAUCGUGCAUGCAAGGCCAAUAGUACGCGGCCUCGAGUAGCGCCAUCGUCCGCUUUUUUCCUGGGUGUCCGGCCCAAUUGGAGUCAUGACACUCCUGCAUGAGCUCGCGACGAAGAUUGCCCCAUCUGGGCACAUAGAUGUGCCGCCCCUUGGUGAAGAGCAGCCCAUCGCUAAGCCAGAACCAUUGCGCCUUACCCUCCUUGACGAGUCACACGAGUCCUUGGGCCACAGGGUCUUUGCAAGUCUCUUCGCGGAUUCGCUCCUUGAUCGCGCUUUGGAGCUGGCACACCGCUGCCAACUUGGCUUUGCGACUGAGUGCGUCAGCCACCUGGUUGUCCUUCCCGGAUUUGUACAUGAGCUCCAUGUCGAACUCCGCCAGGAAGUCCUGCCACCUCGCCUGCUUGGGUGACAUUUUCUUCUGAGUGAGGAAGUAGCUCGUCGCGACAUUGUCCGUCCACACCACGAACUUGCUUCCAAGGAGAUAAUGCCGCCAAGUCCUGAGGCAGUGCACUACGACGGUCAUCUCCUUCUUUUGCACCGUGUACCGCCGCUCAGUGUCGUUGAGCUUGUGGCUCUCGUAGGCGAUGGGGUGCCCGUCCUGCACGAGAACAUCACCAAUGGCAAAGUCCGAGGCAUCAGUAUGUACCUCGAAUGGACGGCUGCAGUCGGGAAGCCGCAACACUGGAUCCUCCGUCACCGCCCACUUUAAGUCCUCGAAUGCCUUCGCGCAUCGAGGGGUCCAGUCCCAUGACUCGGUCUUCUUCAGCAAAUCCGUCAAAGGGGCCGCUCGAGCGGAGUAGCCCGCGAUGAAGCGGCGAUAGUAGUUAACGAGUCCGAGAAAGGAUCGCAGCUCGGACACUGUUGUGGACGCCUCCCACUCGCAGAUCGCCCGCACUUUCUGCUGGUCCAUGUGGAGUUGUCCUCGGCCAACCCAAUGGCCAAGGAAGUGCACCUCCUCCUUCGCAAAGGAGCACUUCUCCCUUUUGACAUAGAGUUGGUUCUCCCGCAGCACUUGGAAGAUCGUCCGCAGAUGUUCGAUGUGCUCCUCCAGAGUGUUGCUGUACACGACGAUGUCGUCGAGGUACACUACCACGAAGCGGUCGAGGUAGGGGUGGAAUAGCUUGUUCAUCAGGGUGCAGAAGGUCGCCGGCGCAUUCGUCAGACCGAAUGGCAUGACGAGGAACUCGUAGGCUCCAUACCUUGUCACGCAGGCCGUUUUCUCCUCAGUGCCCUUCGUGAUCCUGACUUGGUAGUACCCCGAGCGAAGGUCCAAUUUGGUGAAGAAUUUCGCCCCGCCAAGCUGGUCAAACAAGUCAGCAACAAGAGGAAUAGGGUACUUGUUCUUUACCGUUACUUUGUUGAGCGCUCUGUAGUCGAUGCAGAGCCGCAGGCUUACAUCCCUCUUCUUUUGGAACAAGGCUGGGGCUCCGUAGGGUGCCUUCGAUGGCCUGAUGAAGCCCGCAUCGAGGAGGUCCUUCAUUUGACGCUGCAACUCCUCGAGCUCUGGCGGGGCCAUGCGGUAUGGUGCCUUUGCUGGUGGCUUUGCUCCUGGCUCGAGCUCGAUCGUAUGGUCCACCUCCCGCCUGGGUGGAAGUCUCUUGGGCAACUCCUGGGGCAUGACGUUCUUGAACUUCCCCAGGACUACAUCGAUCACCGCUGGAGGGCCCUCCUCCUCGAGGUCCUCUUCGCUCACCUCGCGGAUGGCCGCAAGGUAAGUGAUUUCGCCGCGCUUCACUCCCUUCCGCAGUUGCAGAGCGAAGCGGGUGUAGGUUGCCGCUGGCUCGCCGUGGCUCGCUAAGACCAUGCAUGGGACCGUCUCCUCCAUGAUGCUCAAGGCCCCAAGAUGCGGCAUCGGAACCGGCUUCGAUGAAGCGAGAAAGUCGAUGCCGAGAAUAACUUUGAAGUCGUUGAUGGUCGCGGUGGUGAAGUUCGUUGUACCCGAUCAAGGUCCUACAGCGAUCGUCACCUUUUUGGCUACUCCCACGAUAGGCUGUGCCAUCGAGUUGACAGCCUUGAUCUUGCUCAUGUCCUUCUCGAGUGUAAGGCCCAGCCAUUUGGCCUCAGACUCGGCGAUGAAGUUGUGGGUUGCUCUCGUGUCCACGAGCGCACGAGUGGCCCUCCCGUUGAGGGACACAUCCACGAACAGCAGCUCCUUGAGCGGUUUGCUGCUCGCCUGCCCCUGGAUAGCGCUGACGAGUCGUAGCACCCCCAUCUUUGUCUCUGCUUGUUCCUCGCCCUCCUCGGCUUGGAUGGCGUUGACGGUCUUCUUCUUUGGGCAAUCUCUUGCCCAGUGAUCACCCCCGCAGACAUAGCAAGAGAUCGUCUUCUUUUUCUGCGGAAGGCAUUUUCGCUCUUGGCCUUUUUGAUUACAUUGCUCGCGGCGGUCUCCCCCACCCUUGGCCUUGCCCGCCUUAGAUGGUUUGCCACGAGCGAAGUCUGGCUUGUCAUACUCCAGCAGUUUCUCCGCCUGAGCGAUAGCGAAGCUCACAUCUUUGACGUCUCUCGCCACGAGCUCCUUGUUUGCCCAUGGUUGGAGGCCAUCGAGGAAGAAGAACAGCCGAUCCUCCUCGGCCAUGUUGGUGAUGGCAAGCAUUAGCUUGGGGUACUCCUUGAGGGAUCCUGUAUGUUUGAGCCGUCGAAGUUGCCUCCGUGCCAAGUAUUCGACGUGCUCAGGGUAGAACUGUGCCUUCAAUUCGCGCACAAAGUCCUCCCAAGUCUUUAGUUCGCGUUGGCUCUUCUCAGCCUCUGCAGAACGCCGACGCCACCACAGCAUUGCGUCGUCGGUGAGGUACAUGGAAGCGGUUUGGACCUUGUCCUCCUCGUCCUCCAUCUUUAGCGCCUUGAGGUAGCGCUCCAUGUACCAAAGGAAAUUGUCUAUCUCCUUCUCGUCGCGCGCGCCCUUGAAGCAUUGGGGUUCAACAACGCGAAAAUUCGGGGUGUACUCCUGCGUCUCGACGCCUCGAGCCACCGCCUUCUCAAGGAUAGUCACUCUCGUCUUGAGGUCCUCGACCUCGUCGACUCGAGUAACUAGCUCCUCGAUCAACUUCGUCCGCUCCUCGUCACGACGAGUGAUGUUGCCUUGGAGCUUCUCAAGCUCGCUUGGAAAGGUCGCCAUGGCAGUGGCGACGCUUUCCUCCAUACUGCGAACAUCGUCAUUAAAGGCGUUAAAGGUACCGGCCAUCUUGGUGUACCUUUCUCCUGCCUUCGAUAGAAUGUCCUCCAACAGUGCAAGGCGUUCCUCCGCAAACGCGGAAUCCUUCGUGAGUCUCGUCUCCUUGCCCUUGCCCCGCUUGGAGGGUUGCUUUGGGGGAUCACCCCCAGCAUCGACAACUCCGGCAUCGGAUGUCGACAUGGCUCCUUCUCGAACCUGGCUCUGAUACCAACUGUCACAGACUUAACGGUUUGGUUCGCAAAAUCCGUGCGGCGCUCGCCUUCCUCCACGAAGUGAGCAAACCUGCCUCUCUUUUUGCUAAGUUAGGACCUCGCUCGCCCUAAACUAAGUACAAGAGAGAGAGAUAUGAAGAAAGCUCUUCUAUUACUUUGAACUUGAGAAUACAAUAUGAGAUUCUGAAAUGAGAGGGGGUGGAGGCCACACUAUUUAUAGGCCACUCGCCGCCGAUAAUGCCAAUGAAAAGGUGCCAAGUGGCACAAUACUAUUAGCCAAAAGGGGAGGCCACACGGUCUCUCAAGGGUCCUAAUAAAUAAGCAUAGAACUCUAAGAGUCUUACAUUUAUUACCCACCUAGAAACUCUCUAAGGGACUCUUGACUCUCCGGUAUUCGCACCAUCAGUCUCGAGAUUCGCAUAGAAGCUUCUAGAAGAUUCCAAGCCAAAACCUCCGUUAGAUAUCCGCUUUGGAGUUUGGGUGAUUGCAAAAGGAAAUCGCGAAGAAAAUCUUUAUGUCGUGACAUGGUGCUCAUAAAGUGCGCGAGUAGGCGAGGAGCUGACGCGGAACCGGCGCACGAACAGUAACGUUCGCACACAAAUAAAAUAAUAACAAAAUAAAUAAAAAUAAAUACUAAAAUUAAGAAUAAAAAAAUUAGUGAAUUGAAAAAAUAAAAUAAUAGAUAUUGAAAAUUUUGAAUUUUCUCCAACAAUUUUGAGCAACAAUUACUUCACUAAGUAGAGUGUUUGGCAAUAAAAAAUUAUUAUAUAUAUAUAUAUAGAGUGAGGCUACUAUGCUAUCGUAAGCACGGAGCCUUCCGUGCUUCCAGCUCGUUUUCGAUGUUGCGACUUUCGAAUCGUCGAUCGGCUCUGUUAAACUUGAUCUAGAGUAUUUGAAGUACCUAGAAAAUAAAUUUUAUGAUUUUACAAUAUCAUUUGCCUAGUGAACGAAGGGGCUCAAAAUCAACGGCUGAAAAUAAAAAUCUUACAAAAUGUAAUAAUAUGACAUUAAAAUUUUAAAUCAAAGAUAUUGAUCUUGUUUUAUAUAGUAUAAAGAAUUUUCUAUCAAAAUUUCACGUGAUUUGGAUAUUUCUACACCGUUAAACUUGCAAACGGCUCACUACGGCCAUUGAAAUUUGUUGAUUUUGAGCCCAUUCGAUCACUAGGCAAAUGAUAUCGAAAAAUAAUAAAAUUUAUUUUCUAGGUACUCCAAAUACUCUAGAUCAAGUUUAACGGAGCCGAUCGACGAUUCGAAAGUCGCAACAUCGAAAACGAGCUGGAAGCACGGAAGGCUCCGUGCUUCCGAUAGCAUAGUAGCCUCACUCUAUAUAUAUAUAUAUAUAUAUAUAUAUAUAUUGCUAGUGGGCGCGCAAAUGAAGUCGCGCGGACGAGAUGGUGUGGGUUUCCUUGGCCGCUGCGGCGGAUGGUGGCCGGCGCAAGCUCGCGCGCGGUGCCCGCUCGGAAGGAGGAGGAGGGGAGUGCGGGGCCCCCGUGCUUCUUCCUGUGUGUUGGAGCGGUAGGCGAGGCCGAAGGAGCGGGCGGCUCAAUCUCGCGCAGUCCCGCCGGGAAGGAGGAGGAGGGAGUGCGGGCCCCCUGCUACUUCUUCCCUGUGGUGGUUGGAGGCGGUAGGGCGAGGCGGAGGGGCGAGCGGCAGGAGGGAAGGUGGAUUUUGAGUUGGUGUGGGAAUGGAAAAAGAUGGUCUGAUGGAGAAAGGACAAGAAAAAAAAUAAAAAUAAAGAGAAACAGGACUGCUCCGUUGAAGCAGUCUGUUACAACCUUCCUUCAUAACAGUCUGGCACAAAUCUCAGUGCAGAUCCGAGGGAGGGGUUAUGAGUAGCAACUGUUGCUAUAGCUCUAUAGUAUAGCAGCUGCCACUCUUAUAUAUAUAUAUAUAUAUAUAUAUGUAUGUAUCUAUUAUAUAUAUAAUAUUAAUAUAUAUAUAUAUAUAUAUUAUAUGUAUAUAUAUAUAUAUAUGUAUGUAUUAUAUAUAUAUAUAUAUACUAUGUAUAUAUAUUAUAUCUAUAUAUAUUAUAUUGUAUAUAUACAUACAUAUAGUAUGUAUGUAUAUACAUACAUAUAAUAUAUAUAUAUAUAGUGAGGUUACUAUGCUUCUGAAGCACGGAGCCUUCCGUGCUUCCAGAUCUUUUUCGAUGUUGUGACUUCGAAUCGUCGAUCGGCUUCGUUAAACUGAUCUAGAGUAUUUGAAGUACAUAGAAAUUUUAUGAUUUUUCGAUAUCAUUUGCCUAGUGAUCGAAGGGACUCAAAAUAUUAUAAUUUUAAUGGCCGUGGUGAGCCGUUUGCAAGUUUAACGUGUGAAGAAAUAUCCAAAUCACCUGAAAUUUGAUAAAAAUACUUUUAUACUAUAUAAAACAAGAUCAAUAUCUUUGAUCUAAAAUUUUAAUGUCGUCUAUUAUCAUAUAGUUGUAGAUUUUUAUUUCCAAACGCGUUGGAUUUGGAGCCCUAGUUCAUCGGCAAAUGAUAUCGAAAAUUACAAAAUUUAUUUUCUAAGUAUUCGAAUACUCUAGAUCAAGUUUAACGGAGCCGAUCGACGAUUCGAAAGUCACAACAUCAAAAAACGAACUGAAAGCACGGAAGACUCCGUGCUUACAGAAGCAUAGUAGUCUCACUCUCGUCAUAAUAUAUAUAUAGAGUCUCACACUAUAUAUAUAUAUAGAGUGGGCUGGUAUCUUUGAAAGCACGGAGCCCUCCGCUGCUUUCAAGUUGUUUUCGAUGUUCAGACUUUGAAUUGACGAUCGGCUCCAUUAGAGUUGAUCUAGAGUAUUUGAAGUAUCUAGAAAAUAAAUUUUGUGAUUUUCAAUAUCAUUUGCCUAGUGACGAAGGGCUCAAAUCAAUGAUUUAAUGGCGUGGUGGCGUUGCAAGUUUAUACGAGUGUUAGAAGAAUAUUCCAAAUCACGUAAAAUUUUGAUAGAAAAUUUUUAUACCAUAUAAAAACAGAUCAAUAGCUUUGAUCUAAAUUUUAAAUGUCAUAUCAUCAUAUUUGUAAGAUUUUAUUUUCAGCCGAAUUGAUUUUGAGCCACUUCGAUCACUAGGCAAAUGAUAUCGAAAAAAUCAUUUGUCCUAGUGAUCUGUAUAUAUAUAUAAUAGAGUGGGCUGGUAUGUUUUUGAAAGCACGGAGCCCUCCGUGCCUUCAAGUGUUUUGAUGUUCAGACUUUCGAAUUUGAGAUCGCUCAUUAAGAGUGUGUAGCUAGAUAUUGAAUAUCUAAAAUAUAAAUUUUUGUGAUUGUUUCAAUUCAUUGUUGCCUGGAUGAUCGAGGGCGCCUCAAAAUCAAUGAAUUUUAAUGGCUCUGGUGAGCCGUUUGCAAGGUUUAACGGGUGUAGAAAUAUCAAUCACGUGAAUUUGAUAGAAAAUUUCUUAUACCUAUAAAAACAAGAAUCAAUAGCGUAUUGAUACUAAAAUUUAUGUCAUACUGCAAUCAUAAUUUUUAAGAUUUUUAUUUCGACAUUGAUUUGAGCCAUUUCAUCAUAGACAAAUGAUAUCGAAAAUCGCAAAAUUUAUUUUCUAGAUACUUCAAAUACUCUGAUCUUACAAUCUAAUGGACAUCUACCACCACCACCACCACCACCUCGUCCGCGCGGCCAAGGAAACCCCCCUCGUCCAUAGAUCUACCACCACCCUCCGACAGGUGCCGUCCUUCACCCCUUCCAAAAAUAUGAACCAAUUGAUUGCUGGGCUUUGUAUUAAAUUUCAAUUUGUCAUUUGAAAAAUUACUAUUAAUUGUUAUUAUGCAUGCUGUACAUUUGAUUAAUUGAAUUGUUAUCUAAUAUAACCCAUUUUGGCACAAAUCCAGUUUGAUUAAUCAGUUAUCUUGUAUAAAUUUUAAAAAUUUAAAUUUUUAAAUUUUAAAUUUGCAAAGGGGUGGCGGCUGUGGGUGCGAUCAAAGAAGCAGCGGCAACUUUGCCCUCCCCAACCAAGAAUCAACAGUAGCUUCUUUGUAAGUAUAAUAAUGUUUUGCACAAAUUUCUAUUCUUUUUCCAAAAUUAUUCACUCUUUAUCUACAUAAAGAUUAUCUUAGUAAAACAUUUAUUUUUAGUAAAACAGAUGCUAAAUCCUCUAUCUUAUCAGCAUGCCUUUGAUUGUAUAUAAGAAUUAUUUUUACAUGAACACAUUAUUUUUACGUGAAAAGCAUGCCUUAGAUUGAAUGUCAAUGAAAAAAAUAGGAUAACAAUGCUUUAGAUUUGAUGCUUUUCUUUCAUCUUUAUUCAUAUAUUUCCUAUAUAGAUUUACUUGGGAUGGACAUUACAAAUUGUAAUAAUCCUAUUGGCGAAGAGAAUGGUCGUUCGAUAGUGGCUUCAUCAAGUUUCGAGAUUGACGAGAGCACGAUUGGAAGUUCAUCUUUAAUGAUUCUAAAUAGUUGUGAAGCAAGUGGUAAAAACUCUGAAAAUGAGCCAAGGGACCAACUAGAUCAAGACCAACUAGAUCAAGAAAGCUGGAAUCAACAAAUCAAUCAAAUGGAAAAAGGAGCUGACGAGCCAUAUGUUGGUCAAAUCUUUUCUUCUGUUGAUGAAGCAAAGAGGUUCUAUAAUGUAUAUGCCUUCAAGACGGGAUUUAGUAUAAGAAAGGCGACCCACUACAAAGCAAAGAAGUUUGAUGGUUUGGUUACAUCAACAACAUAUACAUGCUCUAAGGAAGGACAUGCAAACCCUCCAAACCAAAAGAAAGAAGUAGAAGAAGCUUCUGAAACUAAUAGAACUCCUAAGAAGGAGUUCCCAAAUCGGCGAACAGGUUGUAAGGCACUUAUGAGAUUAAGAAUGAUCGAGCAUGAAAAAUGGAUAGUUACUACAUUUCACAAGGAGCACAACCAUGAAUUGAUUGUAAGUCCUUCGAAAACUCGUUUUUUUCGAUCACAUCGCUCCAUCACCAAUGAGCAAAAAGAAGUAAUAAAUAUGUUAAGUGAGCAAAAUAUUUCCACGUCUCAAAUAAUGUCUUUUAUGACUGCAAGAGAGGGUGGAAUGCAAAAUAUUCAUUUUACACGAAAAGACUUAAGUAAUACAAUCGUCGAAAAGAAUAGGAGUCUCAACGGGAUUGAUGUUGCAAGUGUUCUAAACUAUUUUCGAGAGCUUCAAGUAUCGGAUCCGUCAUUUUUCUAUGCUAUAGAUGUGGACGAGGAGCAUACAACACGAAAUUUAUUUUGGGUUGACGGGAGGUCAAGAAUGGCAUAUCAAUACUUUUCGGAUGUGGUAACUUUUGAUACAACAUAUAUGACUAACAAAUAUAGUAUGCCAUUUGCACCAUUUAUUGGAGUUAAUCAUCACAAGCAGUCUAUUUUUUUUGGUUGUGCUUUACUUAGAGAUGAGACUGCUAAUACUUUUUGUUGGCUAUUUAAAACUUGGUUGAAAGCAAUGUUUGAUCGACAUCCAGGAGCAAUUAUUACAGAUCAGGACCCUGCUAUGAGAAAAGCGAUUGAACAGAUUUUUCCAAAUACAAUUCAUAGAUGUUGUCAAUGGCAUAUAAUGAGAAAGGCACGAGAGCACUUAGGAAUAUUAUAUUCCUAGAAGAUAGGGUUUAAAGAUGAGUUGCAGCUGUGCAUAAAUGAUAGCUUGACUAUUGAAGAAUUUGAAAGUGGGUGGGAAUCUAUGCUUCGAAAGUACAAUUUGCAUGAUAUUAAUUAUCUUCAAGUGCUAUGGAAGAACCGUCAUCAAUGGGCACCUGUUUACUUUCGGGAUAUAUUUUUUGCUAAUAUGUCUACUUCCCAACGAAGCGAAGGUAUGAAUGCUUUGUUGAAAAUUCUGUUAGACUCCCACACAUCAAUAUAUAAGUUUGUAAUACAAUUUGAAAAAAUUGUGGCAAGUCGAUAUGAAAAUGAAAAUUUACAAGAGUUCAAAAUGAAGGAUGGACAAGCUUCUUUGUGGACAUUCAAUCCUAUUGAAGAACAAGCUCGCGAUGUAUAUACGAAGAAUGUUUUUAUGGAUUUUAGGGAUCAAUUGAAGGCUUCUACUAGUUAUAGAAUAACGCAAAUGGAAAAUAACACAUAUAAGGUUUGUACUAUACAAAAUCCUUCGAAACCUUAUCAACAUAUGCACUCAUAUGUGGUAUCCGUACAUGAAGAUAACGAGAAAGUGUCUUGCAACUGUAAGAUGUUUAAUUAUGCUGGCAUUUUAUGUGCUCAUGCUCUCACAGUGAUGCAUUUUGUUGGCAUCCAUCACAUUCCUCAAAACUAUAUAAUGAAAAGAUGGACAAAAGAAGCAAAAAGUGGUAUACCAAGCGACAAAACUAGAAACGUAGAAAUUGUUUACUCAUCAAGUGGAAGAGCACAGUGGCAUGAAUCACUUAGUUUAAUAUAUCGAAAAUUCAUGAAUGAAGGUACGAAGAACUUGAAGGCAUAUGAAGUGGCAAAAAAGGAUAUGGAAUUGAUUCUUAGCAAACUUACUUCGCUUAACAAAGAGCUUGAAAGUGUAGAAGCAUCAAAAAAUGACAAAGCCUUUGAACAGCAUGGCACAACUAUCUCACAAUCAAGUUAUAUAAAAGUGGGUUUAGAAUGUCAAGCGGCUAAUGUGGAUCUAGAAGGUCAAGUGGGUCAAGUGGUUAAGGAUCCACCACAAUCUCAAUGUAAAGGUAAAAGGAGGCCUGAAAGAAUUAAGCCACAUGCCGCGAAAGUAAAAAAAUCACGGACUUGCGCAAAGUGCAAAAGAAAAGGUCAUAAUAUUAGAACAUGUAAAGAGGUAAAUUUCUUUUACUGUUAUUGAUUUUUUACUGCAUACUAUGUUAAAAUUCUGAUAGUAAAAUUUAAUUUCAGGAGCCUAUACAUGAGGAUUUUGAUGGUGGCAGUUCUACUGAGCGCGAUGGAUCAGUUGACGGUGGUUCUAGUUUCUCCACGUAAAAUUGGGUUAUUGUUGUAACAAAAUGAUCCAUGACAAGUUGUAGUGACUAAUAUUAUUAUUGUUGAGACUAUUGUUGUAGUUAAUGUUGUUGUUGUUAUUACUGUUAAGACUGUUGUUGUUCUUAAUGUUGUUGCAGAAUUGGGUUAAUGUUGCUAUUGUCAUUACUUUUGAGACUAUUGUUGUUGUUAAUAUUGCUACAGAAUUAGAGUUUUGGGUUAAUGUUGCUAUUGUUGUUGCUUUUGAGACUAUUGUUGUUCUUAAUGUUGCUAUUGUUGUUACUUUUGAGACUAUUGUUGUUGUUAAUGUUGCUGCAGAAUUAGAGAAUUGGGUUCAUGUUGCUAUUGUUGUUACUAAUACUACUUAUUUAGCCCAUGACUCUACAUGUGUUCUCCUUAAAGGCAGACAAAUUGGAAAAAAAAUUUCUACAGGCCAUAUCUUCUUAAUUGAAAAGUGAAAUUUCUAUAUUUUGUUGAAGUUUUCUAACACAGGUACAUGAUUGCUUUGAACCACACUUUUUCUUAUACAAAACGAGACCAGUGUAUGUAAUACAUGAGGUGAGAGGAGGGAACAAUUGGCAUACAAAGUCUGCAAUUAACCUCUGAAAGAAACAAAAAGAGGAGUUUCAUGUAUGAUAACUAACACCUGAUGCAUACACAACCAAAUUUGACUAAGAAGUGCAUUUCAUUUUACAUCCAGAAUUGACAAAGAAGUGCAUUUCAUUUUACAUCCAGAAUUGACAAAGAAGUACAUUUCAUUUUACAUCAUUGUGACCUCUCAUUAUCAUAUACCUUUCAUUACUAUACAGACUGCUAUAAUAAUGAAAACAAUACAUAACAAUAUGACAAGCCCAAUAAAUAUGAAAAACUUGUUUUCAACAUCAACUCUCAUUUCCUUGAUUCUAUCUAAAAGCUCGUUGUCACGAUCUUUUAACGCCUGUAUCUGAUCAGCUAUCUUCGCUUCUAAAUACUCAAUAUGUUGAAGUGGCCAAUCAUUUGAAGAUUUCUUCUGCGAACUUUCAGAUUCAAAGGCCAUACUUUUUCUCAUCCUUGAAGAAAUAGAACUUCCUGAUUCAGAUAGUUCUCUAUCUUUUGCUUCAUUCUUAUCUACCCAUUGAAAAAAGUUACAAUAAUUUUCCUUUUCAUUUCGAUAUUUCGGGCAGCCAUAAAAUUGCAUCCCUUCAGAACGUGGUUGACGUGAAACUCUUAACAUAGCUAUUUCAUUGCAUUUGCAACGAACAAUCCCGUUUUCAUUAGAUUUUCCUCGGUAAUAUGCCAUUAGUAUUCUGAAAAAAAAAACAACUUUUAGAUAGUUUCUAACAAUUGUACAGAAAAAAAUUUUCAAUAAUGAGAAAGGUAACAUUAAAUACAUCGAAUUAAAUGAUCAAACUGGAUUUGUGCCAAAAUGAGAAAGAUAACUGAUUAUUACAUCGAAUCAAAUGAUCAAACUGAAUCAGUUACCUUUCUCAUUUUUGAAAAUUUGUAUUAAUCAAACUAGAUUUGUGCCAAAAUGGGUUAUAUUAGAUAACUAAUUAAUACAAUUUAUUAACAGAUGAUCAAAUAAUACAAGAUAAAUUUUGUCAAUUCAAUCUACAUAUUUAGUCCAAAACAUGCAAAGGAGAGAAUCUCAGUGCCACACUUGCGCAUCUAUGAUGUAAUGCUUACAAUACCAUUCAUUUCACCUUUUCACACUUUCUAACAAUAACAAUAAAAAAAAAAACAUGAUUUGGACCAACACUAUUUGAGAGUCAAAAACUUUCUGGAAAAACCAUAAAAGAGUCAUUAAAUUCCAACGUGCUCCACAAACUGGCCUCAAUUCAAUUAAUCAAAUGUACAGCAUACAUAACAACAAUUAAUAGUAAUUUUCCAAAUGACAAAUUGAAAUUUAAUACAAAGCCUAGCAAUCAAUUGGUUCAUAUUUUUGGAAAGGGUGAAGGACGGCACCUGUCGGAGGGUGGUGGUAGAUCUAUGGACGAGGGGGGUUUCCUUGGCCGCGCGGCCGAGGUGGUGGUGGUGGUGGUGGUAGAUCUGGUAGGCGGCGCAAAUUAAGCUCGCGUGGACGAGGUGGUGGUGGUAGAUCUGGUGGGCGGCGCAAAUUAAGCUCGCACGGACGAGAUGGUGGUCGGUUUCCUUGGCCGCUGCGGCGGAUGGUGGGCGGCGCAAAGCUCGCGCGGGUCCCCGCUCGGGAAGGAGGAGGAGGGGGAGUGCGGGCCCCCUGCUGCUUCUUCCCUGUGGUGGUUGGAGGCGGUAGGGCGAGGCGGAAGGAGCGGGCGGCUCAAAUCUCGCGCAGGUCCCCGCUCGGGAAGGAGGAGGAGGGGGAGUGCGGGCCCCCUGCUACUUCUUCCCUGUGGUGGUUGGAGGCGGUAGGGCGAGGCGGAGGGGCGAGGCGGAGGAGGGAAGAGUUGGAUCUGAGUUGGGUUGGGAAUGGAAAAAGAUGGGUCUGAUGGAGAAAGGACAAGGAGAAAAAAAAAAUAAAGAGAAAACAGGACUGCUCCGUUAGAAGCAGUCCGUUACAACCUUCCUUCAUAAACAGUCUGGCACAAAUCUCAGUGCAGAUCUGAUGGUGGAGGGGUUAUGAGUAGUACUGUUGCUAUACUCAUAAUAGUAUAGCAGCUGCACUCUAUAUAUAUAUAUAUAUAUAUAUAUAUGUACAUGUAUAUAUAUACAUAUACAUAUACAUGUACAUGUAUAUAUAUAUAUAUAUACAUGUACAUAUAUAUGUAUAUGUAUAUGUAUAUGUAUAUAUAUGUACAUGUACAUAUAUAUAUGUACAUAUAUAUAUGUAUAUAUUAUAUAUUAUAUAUAGUAUAUUAUAUAUAUAUAUAGAUAAUAUAUAUAUUAGUAUAUAUAUGUACAUUUAUAUAAUACAUACAUAAUACAUAUAUUAUAUAUUAAAUAUUAAUGUACAUAUAUAUAUAUAAGUAAUGUAUGUAUGUAUCAUCUAUAUAUAUAUAUAAUUAUGUAUGUAUGUUACAUACAUAUAUAUAUAUAUAAUAUGUAUGUAAUGACAUACAAUAAUAUAUAUAAUUCGUAUUAGUCAUACGAUACAUAUAUAUAUAUAUGUAUUAUGUGAGCACAUACAUCAUAUAUAUAUAUAUUAUAUGUAUGUACAUACAUACUAUAUAUUAUUAAUAUAGUUAUGUACAUACUACAUACAAUGAAUUAUAUAUUAGUAAUAUAUUAUAUAAAUAUAUUAUAUAUGUAUGUAUGUAUAUACAUACAUACAUAUAUAUAUAUAUAUAUUAUAUAAUUUAUACUAUUAUUAUAUAUAGUUAUUUAUGAUAUAUCAACAUAUCAAUAUAUACUAAUAUAUUAUAUAAUAAUAUAUAUUAUCACAUAUGAGAUGGCUUCUUGGAUUUAGUAAUAAUUUAAUAUUAUAUAUAGUAUAUAUAUAUAUAUAUAUUAUAUAUACUAUAUAUAUAUAUAUAUGCAACUUGAUGGGUGGUCUGUAUAUGGAUUAGUAACUAAUUAAAUCAUUCUAAGUUGAGUGGGUGUUAUUUUAUAGUAUAAUAUAAAGGAUAAAUAUAUAAUAUAAGUCCGAACUGUAUACUCUAUGAUACUAUCGCAUUCGUAUUCAUAGUUUUUCGAUAAGAGCUUUCCGAAUUGAAUGAUUCCAAUCAUAAACAUUAGCUAGAAGUAUUUAAACUUCUAGAAUCAAUUUUGAUAACUUAUUUCGAAUUCAUUUACCUUACGAUAUCCUAGCGCAUCAAAUUAAAAUUUUUU